rnacentral:rRNA from 1 species
AGUUCGAUCCUGCUCAGAUUGAACGCUGGCGGAUGUUUUACAUGCAAGUCGAACGGCAGCACGGACUUCGGUCUGGUGGCGAAUGGCGAACGGGUGAGUAAUGUAUCGGAACGUGCCUAGUAGCGGGGAUAACUACGCGAAAGCGUAGCUAAUACCGCAUACGCCCUUCGGGGAAAGCGGGGGACCUCGGGCCUCGCACUAUUAGAGCGGCCGAUAUCGGAUUAGCUAGGCUGGUGGGGUAACGGCUCACCAAGGCGACGAUCCGUAGCUGGUCGAGAGGACGACCAGCCAUAUCGCAGAUCAGAGAUGACGGCCUGACUCUUAUGGAGGCAGGGGAAUUUUGAUAAUGGGGAAACCCGAUCCAGCCACUUCCGCGUAAAGAUAAAGGGCCUUGGUUAAAGGUUUUUGUGGUGGUAAACGCAUGAUACGCCCGCAACUGACAACAAACUGCAGACAGCACCAAGCAUCGCUGCGGCGGUGGUUACGGUAGGUGGCAAGACCGGAAUGACGAGUGAACAAGCGCAGGUAUCGAAAGAAAGAUGGAACGGUAUUAAUUUAAUCCGCAUUUUUAACGCCGAAAGGAUGUGUUGGUGGCGUGAAUCAGCGCAGCAGGGUGAAAUGCGUAGAUAUGCGGAGGAACACCGAUGGCGAAGGCAGCCUCCUGAUAACACUGACGCUCAUGCACGAAAAGCGUGGGGAGCAAACAGGAUUAGAUACCCCAGUCCACGCCCUAAACGACGUCAACUAGUUGUUGAAUACCUUUCGCCGGUAGCGCAGCUAACGCGUAGUUGACCGCCUGGAGUACGGUCGCAAGAUUAAACUCAAAGAAUUGAUUUGGGACUCGCACAAGCGGUGGAUGAUGUGGAUUAAUUCGAUGCAACGCGAAAACCUUACUCAACUUGACAUGUCUGGAAUCCCAGCAGACGCUGGAGUGCUUGCGUGAUAAACCGGAACACAGGUGCUGCAUGGCUGUCGUCAAAUAAAUAAAUGCGAGAGUGCUGGAAGCAGUCCUGCAACGAGCGCAACCUUGUCAUUAGUUGCUACGAAAGGGCAAUUUGACAGAUCGUUGCGGACAAACCGAUAGCGGGAUGAUGCCGAGUCCGGCGGCCUUGCAAAAUUGAAGACGGUGUCAUGCUAAUGUCGGGCGGAGAAUACCAACCCAGUGAGGGGAGCCAAUCCCAGAAACCCGAUCGUAGUCCGGAUCGCAGUCUGCAACUCGACUGCGAAGUCGGAACGCUGGCAUCGCGGAUCAGCAUGUCGCGUGGUGAAUACGUUCCCGGGUCUGAAGAUGCCCGUCGUCUACACCAUGGGAGUGGGUUUUACCAGAAGUAGUUAAUGCAACCGUAAGGAGGGCGAUUACCACGGUAGGAUUCGUUAUUUAGUAAAGCCGUAAUAUAAAGCCCUCAGGUUAUUACCUGAUGCUCCUG